UCUUGCCCUUUUUUUUUUUUUAGCAGCUUGCAAAACACAUGGCUUUGAGAUGGUGAGGAAAAUGCUUCUUUGCUGGACGCUGAGAGAUUGCAGUGAGUAGGACUCUGAUCCGCAGAGGUGUCUGUGAGCUGUAGAUGCAGAUCCCGCUUCACAGGACAGGAAAGCGUUCCUGAAAGAGGACCCGAGGUUCAAAUGAAGAUGGACGUAAAGGUCUCUGUGUUACAAAGGUGCACUGGGAUUUAACAUAUUAAGAGCAGUCAGCUAAUCCUAAAACUUGCCUCUGGCGUUUGAGUGCAUGCUUAUGUAAGUAACUAUAUGUACUGAAAGUG
rnacentral:lncRNA from 1 species